CCUGAGAAACGGCUACCACAUCCAAGGAAGGCAGCAGGCGCGCAAAUUACCCACUCCCGGCACGGGGAGGUAGUGACGAAAAAUAACGAUACGGGACUCAUCCGAGGCCCCGUAAUCGGAAUGAGUACACUUUAAAUCCUUUAACGAGGAUCUAUUAGAGGGCCAGUCUGGUGCCAGCAGCCGCGGUAAUUCCAGCUCUAAUAGCGUAUAUUAAAGUUGUUGCGGUUAAAAAGCUCGUAGUUGAAUCUGUGUCCCACACUGUCGGUUCACCGCUCGCGGUGUUCAACUGGCAUGUCUGUGGGACGUCCUACCGGUGGGCUUAGCCCGUCAAAAGGCGGCCCAACUCAAAAUCCUACCACGGUGCUCUUCACCGAGUGUCGAGGUGGGCCGGUACGUUUACUUUGAACAAAUUAGAGUGCUUAAAGCAGGCUCAUUCGCCUGAAUAUUGUGUGCAUGGAAUAAUGGAAUAGGACCUCGGUUCUAUUUUGUUGGUUUUCGGAAUUCCGAGGUAAUGAUUAAUAGGGACAACUGGGGGCAUUCGUAUUGCGACGUUAGAGGUGAAAUUCUUGGAUCGUCGCAAGACGGACAGAAGCGAAAGCAUUUGCCAAAUGUGUUUUCAUCAAUCAAGAACGAAAGUUAGAGGUUCGAAGGCGAUCAGAUACCGCCCUAGUUCUAACCAUAAACGAUGCCAGCUAGCGAUCCGCCGAAGUUCCUCCGAUGACUCGGCGGGCAGCUUCCGGGAAACCAAAGCUUUUGGGUUCCGGGGGAAGUAUGGUUGCAAAGCUGAAACUUAAAGGAAUUGACGGAAGGGCACUACAAGGAGUGGAGCCUGCGGCUUAAUUUGACUCAACACGGGAAACCUCACCAGGUCCGGACACCGGAAGGAUUGACAGAUUGAGAGCUCUUUCUUGAUUCGGUGGGUGGUGGUGCAUGGCCGUUCUUAGUUGGUGGAGCGAUUUGUCUGGUUAAUUCUGAUAACGAACGAGACUCUAGCCUGCUAAAUAGGCGUACUUUCCGGUAUCGCAAAGACCCUCCGCUUCGGCUUCGGUCGUUGUUGGUUGUGGUUCUUACUACCGGCGUACAAAUAUAUCUUCUUAGAGGGACAGGUGGCAUUUAGUCGCACGAAAUUGAGCAAUAACAGGUCUGUGAUGC
rnacentral:rRNA from 2 species